rnacentral:lncRNA from 1 species
AGAUUUCCUCAAACAGUCAGGAAAAUCUCAUCUACUUAUCAUGCCCCCGCAAGAUGGUACUUCGAUCAAGGAGGCCAAUCUUGGACAGAUGUAACGCAAAAAGUUUACGAGCUAGAGGCUUCGUAAAUGAGUCGGCCAAUUGAUCAGCCGUAUGAACAUGAGAAACACGAAGUUGACGGCAGACAACUUGAUCGCGUACAAAGUGGAAGUCGAUGACAAUAUGUUUCAUGCGGGAGUGGAAUACCGGAUUAGCGCACAGAAAGGUAGCUCCAAUAUUAUCACAAUAUAUUAUAGGGGUGGAAUCGAUGUUGAGUUCCUGGAGUAGAUUCGUGAUCCAAUUGAGUUCUGCAGUGGUAGCGGCAAUGGCACGGUAUUCAGCUUCAGUUGUAGACCGGGCGACUGUCUUUUACUUCUUAGAACUCCAACUGAUUGGAUAAGCACCAAGAAAGAUAAUAUACCCCGAUGUGGAUGUUCUAUCAUCAAGGUUACCUGCCCAAUCAACAUCGACAAAGGCAUGAAGACGAAGUGGAGAGUGUUUACGAAAAAAGAGACCAUGAUUUAGGGUCCCUUUAAGAUAUCGUAGAAGUCUCUUGAUCGCUGACCAGUGUAGAGUAGAUGGUUGCUGCAUAAACUGUGAUAAUUUAUUGACAGCAAAUGAGAUGUCUGGACGCGUGAGAGCUAAGUAUUGUAAAGAGCCAACAACUUGGCGGUAUUGAGUGGGUUCCGUAGCAGGACUUCCAUCCGAUAAUUUGAGAGAACCACUAGUAGAGAUGGGGGUUGUAACUGCAUUUGCAUCCUGCAUGUUUGUCUUUAAUAACAAAUCUUGAAUGUACUUGCAUUGUGAUAAAAGGAAACCGGAAGACGUGAAGGUAGCUUCGACGCCUAGAAAGUAGCUCAAGGGUCCGAGAUCCUUAAGCGAGAAUCGAGCUGCCAGCUGUUUGAUGAACGCUUGGAUGCUGAUGGGAUUGUUGCCUGUGAUAAUAAUAUCAUCCACAUAUACCAGAAUAUACAUUGUGUUUCCA